UGGCAUUCCAGGCAUGGUGCUAAGGUCCAGGGUGUGCUAUGGACAUAGCUGAGUGCACACACCUGCACUCUGUCUACCUGCAUCCCACCUGAGUCCCACCUUUAUCAUCCUGCCUGAGUCCCACCUGCAUCCCACCUGCAUCCUACCUGCAUCCCGCCUACAUCCUACCUGCAUCCUACCUGCAUCCCACCUACAUCCUACCUGCAUCCCACCUAUAGCCUACCUGCAUCCCACCUAUAUCCUACCUGCAUCCCACCUAUAGCCUACCUGCAUCCCACCUAUAUCCUACCUGCAUCCCACCUAUAUCCUACCUGCAUCCCACCUAUAUCCUACCUGCAUCCCACCUACAUCCUACCUGCAUCCUACCUGAGUCCCACCUGCAUCCUACCUGCAUCCUACCUGAGUCCCACCUGCAUCCCAC
rnacentral:lncRNA from 1 species